GAUGAAGAACGCAGCGAAAUGCGAUAAGUAAUGUGAAUUGCAGAAUUUUGUGAAUCAUCGAAUCUUUGAACGCAAGUUGCGCCCGAAGCCAUUAGGCCGAGGGCACGCCUGCCUGGGUGUCACACACCGUUACCCUCGCGCCAACGUCCAUCGUUGGCCGCGGCGCGGGGCGUGCGCUGACCUCCCGCGAGCGGGGUCUCGUGGUUGGUUGAAAAUCGAGUUCGCGGUCGAGGGUGCCGUGAUGAAAUGGUGGAUGGGCGACGCCCGAGGCCAAUCACGCGCGACUCUGUCCGGCUCGGACUCCUGGACCCCUUCGGCGUCUCCGGACGCUCUUUGGCGAGACCUCAGGUCAGGCGGGGCUACCCGCUGAGUUUAAGCAUAUCAAUAAGCGGAGGA
rnacentral:misc_RNA from 1 species